rnacentral:rRNA from 1 species
GCCAGCAGCCGCGGUAAUACGUAGGGUGCGAGCGUUGUCCGGAAUUACUGGGCGUAAAGAGCUCGUAGGUGGUUUGUCACGUCGUCUGUGAAAUUCCGGGGCUUAACCUCGGGCGUGCAGGCGAUACGGGCAAUACUUGAGUGCUGUAGGGGAGACUGGAAUUCCUGGUGUAGCGGUGAAAUGCGCAGAUAUCAGGAGGAACACCAAUGGCGAAGGCAGGUCUCUGGGCAGUUACUGGCGCUGAGGAGCGAAAGCAUGGGUAGCGAACAGGAUUAGAUACCCUGGUAGUCCAUGCCGUAAACGGUGGGCGCUAGGUGUAGGGGACUUCCACGUUCUCUGUGCCGUAGCUAACGCAUUAAGCGCCCCGCCUGGGGAGUACGGCCGCAAGGCUAAAACUCAAAAGAAUUGACGGGGGCC